rnacentral:lncRNA from 1 species
CUUCAUAAAUGUUAACAUGUUACUAAGGAUCAGUGAAUACAGCCCUCCUCCUUUCUUAGGUUUCCCACCAUUUUCGAGAACUCAUGCAGCUCUUCCACACUGCCUGUGAAGCCAGCUCUGAGGAUGAGGAUGAUGCAACCAGUACCAGCAAUGCAGACCAGCUGUCUGACCAUGGGGACCUUCUGUCUGAAGAGGAGCUGGAUGAAUGAGACUCUGGGAAUCAUCUACACAGGACCAAACCCAACAGGCGCCCUGGCACCGGGGAGGCGGGUAGUUGUACUCUGCUUGUACAGUCCUUGAGCCCAGUUUACAGAUCUGGAGAGCAGGAGGCCAGGACAAGGACAAAGGCUGGAGGAUGGAGUAGGACCCAGGGGCUCUGCCAUCCUAGGCAUCAUUCAAGGUCUUUUAUGAAGACUUUACAGAUGUCCUCUGUAAGUAGCAUCGAGAGUGGAGUUCAGCUCCUUUCUCUACUUUUUUUUGGUCUGAUGGCACAUAUUUAUUGUUCUGUGGUCUAAUCACAGUGUUUCUAAAUGUAAAAAGUGCAUAUGUUGGUGUAGCUAGUCCCGCGACAUUGAGCUCCUCUGCAUGAAGACACUGGGCUCCUGCAUCCAGCUGUUUUUAUUGCAAACUAGCUCCUUUCUCCCACACUGGGAACUUUAGUCCACGAGGCUGUCACCACCCUGGUAGCACUGGGCCAGGCUUUGUAGCUCCUGCAGCAGCUCUGCUACGUCAUCGUGCUCCACUCCAGCAUCCAUGAAGCUGGCCCAGCGCCGCAAGUCGAGUUUGGUGAGGUCUCUGGCCAAGGCUUCCAGGGUCUGGUGCAGGGACGAAGAGGAACACAGUGCCCCAAACACUGGGAUGCUCUCCACUGCUGUGGAGGGAGAGGAAACAGAGACCUGUAGAUGGAUGAUUAUUCUGCCCUGGGACUCUGCCAAACUGAUAAGGAAGUCCAACCUUAGUAGACUUGAUUGUAAACUCAACAAAUUUGGUGUAUUGUCCCCUUAGUACACCAGUACUCCAGAGGAAGAAUGCUUUUCUUGGGAGCCAUAGGGUGAAUAAAGGAAUGUUUAACUGUGGACUUUUUCAGCACUUUUAAUCCAGGAAUGGAGAUAGUAAAAACUCUCCCAUACUUGAAAUCUCAGUUUUCUUCACCUCCUACAUACCUGCUCCCUUGGGGGAACCAUCCAGAACCAUACCCGGUGGACUGCAGCUUGAGAAGAGGUGGGGAAGCUCAGCAUGUCAGCCAGAUGAACCAUGGAAACUGGAGAGGAACACAGGCGAUAAGGAACAGUGACUGUGUCCAGGGCUGUAGCCAGGAUGGCACUGCAGUGGAAGGGCAGAGUGGCCUGUAAGAAGACACCAAGAUGGGCACUUGGCCUCAGGCCUGGAAAAGAAUGUGUGGAGGCAGAAUAUUAACACCAGAGAGACCCAGGGGACGAAUCAGGGGUAUGUUUGACCCCAGGCUGGACAAGCAUAGGACAGUGUGAUCUGAGAGGCCACAUCACAGCUGAGUUCAAGCUCGGGCCUCAAGAACAGAGCCAGUAACAGACAGCGGCUGACUGGGAGCAUGAGGAGGCCCUGUAGCCUGCCGCAGUCAGAACAAGAGCACCGAGACUUACAUCAUAAUGCAGGUAAGGGAAGCUGACAGGUGGCUCGGGUCGCAGGCCCAGGCUCCCACCCAAGGACAAGGGGCAGACAAGAGAGCUGUGAGCAGUCAGGUGCACGAGACCAAAAGCUGUGUUUAAUAGACGAUAGAUGUUUCUCUG